rnacentral:rRNA from 1 species
AACGUAGGACACAAGCGUUAUCCGGAGUUACUGGGCGUAAAGGGCGUGUAGGCGGACCUAUAAGUCUAUUCUGAAAGCUCCUGGCUAAACUGGGAGAGGCGAAUGGAGACUGUAGAUCUAGAGUGAGGAAGAGGAAAGUGGAAUUCCGCGUGUAGUGGUGAAAUGCGUAGAGAUGCGGAGGAACACCGGGUGGCGAAGGCAAUCCCCUGGACCUGUACUGACGCUCAUGCACGAAAGCGUGGGGGAGCAAACAGG